ACGGGAGGCAGCAGUGGGGAAUAUUGCACAAUGGGCGCAAGCCUGAUGCAGCGACGCCGCGUGAGCGAAGAAGUAUUUCGGUAUGUAAAGCUCUAUCAGCAGGGAAGAUAAUGACGGUACCUGACUAAGAAGCACCGGCUAAAUACGUGCCAGCAGCCGCGGUAAUACGUAUGGUGCAAGCGUUAUCCGGAUUUACUGGGUGUAAAGGGGGCGUAGGCGGUUUUACAAGUCUGAUGUGAAAGCCCGGGGCUCAACUCCGGUAUUGCAUUGGAAACUGUAGAACUAGAGUGUCGGAGGGGUAAGUGGAAUUCCUAGUGUAGCGGUGAAAUGCGUAGAUAUUAGGAGGAACACCAGUGGCGAAGGCGGCUUACUGGACGAUUACUGACGCUGAGGCUCGAAAGCGUGGGGAGCAAACAGGAUUAGAUACCCUGGUA
rnacentral:rRNA from 1 species